UUUUCCGGUUGAUCCCGCCGGGACCCGACUGCUAUCAGAGUGGGACUAAGCCAUGCGAGUCAACAUAGCAAUAUGUGGCAUACGGCUCAGUAACACGUAGUCAACAUGCCCAGGGGACGUGGAUAACCUCGGGAAACUGAGGAUAAACCGCGAUAGGUCAUCACUUCUGGAAUGGGUAAUGUCUUAAAUCUAUAUGGCCCCUGGAUUGGACUGCGGCCGAUCAGGCUGUUGGUGAGGUAAUGGCCCACCAAACCUGUAACCGGUACGGGCUCUGAGAGGAGGAGCCCGGAGAUGGGCACUGAGACAAGGGCCCAGGCCCUAUGGGGCGCAGCAGGCGCGAAACCUCUGCAAUAGGCGAAAGCUUGACAGGGUUACUCUGAGUGAUUUCCGUUAAGGAGAUCUUUUGGCACCUCUAAAAAUGGUGCAGAAUAAGGGGUGGGCAAGUCUGGUGUCAGCCGCCGCGGUAAUACCAGCACCCCGAGUGGUCGGGACGUUUAUUGGGCCUAAAGCAUCCGUAGCCGGUUCUACAAGUCUUCCGUUAAAUCCACCUGCUUAACAGAUGGGCUGCGGAAGAUACUAUAGAGCUAGGAGGCGGGAGAGGCAAGCGGUACUCGAUGGGUAGGGGUAAAAUCCGUUGAUCCAUUGAAGACCACCAGUGGCGAAGGCGGCUUGCCAGAACGCGCUCGACGGUGAGGGAUGAAAGCUGGGGGAGCAAACCGGAUUAGAUACCCGGGUAGUCCCAGCUGUAAACGAUGCAGACUCGGUGAUGAGUUGGCUUAUUGCUAACUCAGUGCCGCAGGGAAGCCGUUAAGUUUGCCGCCUGGGGAGUACGGUCGCAAGACUGAAACUUAAAGGAAUUGGCGGGGGAGCACCACAAGGGGUGAAGCCUGCGGUUCAAUUGGA
rnacentral:rRNA from 1 species